GAGUCAGGUAUUUCUAUUGCUCGUGUUAGAUGUGCAGUCAGAUACAUUAGACAGUCUUCUGCUAAGUUGAGGAAGUUUCAAGAAUGUUGUGAAAGUGAAAAUAUUGUCAAGAAGUCUUUAUGCUUAGAUGUUCCUACAAGGUGGAAUUCCACCUACUUGAUGUUGAGCAGGGCUAUUGAAUAUGAGCGUGCAAUUAAAGAAUAUUCUGAUCGUGAUACUGGCUUGUCAUGUUAUCUUAUGUUUGAUGCUAUUUCAGAUGGAAAGCCUGUAGGUUUGCUUACAAGAACUGAUUGGGAUGAUGUAAAUAGAAUUGCACAAUUUCUUGAAAUAUUUUAUAAUCUCACUUUGAAGGUGUCCGGAUCACUUUAUGUAACAUCAAAUUCCCAUUUUUUUGAAAUUGGUCAAGUUGUUGUUUAUUUAAAUCGAUUAAUAACAACUGAAGAUGUACUUUUGAGUGAGAUGGCAUAAAGUAUGCGGAAAAAAUUUGAGAAGUAUUGGGGUGAACCAACAAAAAUGAACAAAAUGAUUUUCAUUGCUUGUGUUUUGGAUCCUCACUACAAGUUUACUACUGUUAGUUUUGUACUUAAGAAGAUGUUUGGAGAUGAAGGGACAAUUAUUGAAAAAGAGGUUCAUACUUAUAUGAGUUCAUUGUUUAAUGAGUAUGUCUCUAAGUCAGUUUCAAAAGAUACUGGUGGUAAAGUUUCUACCUCUUUGCCAAGCUCUUUAUUCAGCACAAUGGAAACUUCAACUCCUGGUUUAGGUGAACUUUUAGAUGAAAUAAGGAAACAUAAAGCUGCAAGUGGAGGUGUAGAUUCUAAAACAGAAUUGGAAAAGUAUCUUGUAUAAGAUCCUGAAAAUGAAAGACCGGACUUUGAUAUCUUGGCUUGGUGGAAGGUGAACUCACCUAGAUUUCCUAUUCUUGCUAAGAUGGCUUGAGAUGUGCUUGCUAUUCCUAUUUCAAGUGUGGCAUCUGAAAGUGCAUUUAGUAUCAGAGGGUGUAUUCUUGACCAAUUUAGGAGUUCAUUAACUCUUAAAUUGGUUGAAAUUCUAGUGUGCCUUCAAGAUUGGCUUCGGAGUGAAUCGCUUCCUAUAAAUGUUGAGGAAGAUUUAGAUUUUCUCGAGACACUCGAGGAAGAUUUUACUAAUCUUGGCAAAGAAGCUUCCACCGACGAUAUUUGCUAGAGUUUGUUAGUUGCUAUCUAUAACAUGGACAUUGAAGUUGGGCUCGUGAAGUUGAACUUUAUUUGCUGCCCAUCAACUGGCGAUUCUAAUCAGAAGAAGACAAAUAAGAAGCACAAAAGAAAUGUGUUACUUGCGCUCAACUAAAGACAUUUCAUGGAAUUAUUUUCCAUGGGACUUAUUUUGCAAAUUAUUUCAUAAUCACAGUAAUUUAUAGUUGACCGUGACUUUAAGAAUGUAGGAAAUAUUGAUCUAAUUGCAACUUAGUUUUCUACUUCUUUAA